rnacentral:lncRNA from 1 species
UGGGUUAAGGCUAAGGGCUGGGCAGGGUGGGGAUGUCCUGGGUGAAGGGACACCCAGCUGGUCUCUGGGCAGGUAACAUGGGUUGGGCCAAGUGACACUGGCUGAGUCACGUCCCACGUUGACAGGUUGCGGUGCGGGCAUGAGUCAGCCGCAGCUGAGCCCCAGGAAUAGAGGCUGGGAGGGUAGCUUUCUGAUCUUGAUGCUCUUGUAGGAUCUGUCUGGGUCCGUGGAGUGACAGAGAACUUGUGCUGGGAGGGGCAGCUGUUCUGUUGCUUAAAAUGAAAGGACUGUCCCUGCUACUGCCUGCUGGAGUCUGUCUGGGCUAUCAUACCAAAAAAAAUACCAAAAAAAAAAAAAAAAAAAAAAAAAAAAAAAAAAAAAAAAAAACACUGGGAAUAGGCCACAGAGGAAAACUUUGUCUCUCACUCUCUGUCCUGAAGGUUGAUGUCCAAUAUCAGGGUGCCUGAAUGUUCUGUGUCAGGUGAGGAAAACUCUGCUUGGUAGACGGUGUUUCCUUGCUGAGUCCUGACUGGGGGAAGGGGAAGGGAAGGUCUCUGGGGGUGGGGGUCCCUUCUGUUAGGGCUUUCUUUUGGUUGUUUUUCUCACAGCUAUGAACAAAAUGGCAGACUAAGAGGUGACUUCAGUACGUGAGGGUUUCUCUUGGCUCUCAGUUGGAGGGCACACACUCUGUUGCAGUCAGAAAAGUGAUAGCAGCCAGCAUAUGAGGUAGAGGUAGCCGGGUCAGGGAAGAGAGAAGGAUGCUGGUACUUAACUCACUUUCUCUUUUGUGCUCAGUCAGGGAGGCCCCAGCCCAUGGGAUGCCCCGCCCCCUCUGUUUAGAAUGGGUCUCUCUAAUUCAGCUAACCAAGACUAAAAACACAGAUACCACCAGAUGCUUGCCUUCGUGGCAAGGCCAAAUCCCAUUAAGUUGACAAUCAGGAUUAGCUUUCAUAGACCCCACCUCCUUUCUGGAGGUGCUCUCCUGUCACUGUGUUAGCUCCACCCCUAGGAACUAUCUCCUUGCAGGUUAGGUAUCAACCCAUAUAUUUAGGGGCGGGGACACACACACUUUUGGAUCAUGUCACUGCAGUAGGUAUACUGACUUCUUGCUUGUUAUCCCUGUCCCAAGGCCACCAGGGCAGGGAGGUGGGCAUGGUGGCUACUGUUGACUAGCUCUGGGAAUAAACACUGUCCAAGAUGGAGAUGCCAUGGUCCGGACACUUCCUCCACAUCUCCAGUCUCUUGAAUCCACACAGUCCAAAAAGCACUCUGGAUUUAAGGUGCUGAAACUGAGAGAUGCUACCAAGAAUGGAUCUGGGGAGACAGAGAUGGACACGAGCCCCCAGGAGUCAAUGGGAUUCAGUUUGUGGGCCCCUAAGUGCUACAAACUGUGCUGUGGGCUUCCACAUGAAUCGUGGCCUGGCUAAAGAUAUCAGUAUGAGCAUGGGGGUGGCCAUUAGUGAGAAAGCAGAUCUGGGGGACCGCUUGUCUGGGGUUCAUGGAGGCUCACUCUCCCCUAUAGAGGCUGAGUACUGGAGUCAAGGCAGAGCACAGGAGUUGGCUUCUAGGCUCAGCACCACAGGCCACGGUGUUGUUGAGAGCCAGCCACUCCAGCUCCCCUUAAGGGCCCCUGCUGGAAUGAGGCCCACACAGUUGGACACCAGUUGGACACCCUGGUCUGGAAUCUGCCUCGGCCUGAAGUACCUCCUUCCCAACUGUGGAAUGGGGAUGUUGGUGUCAGCGGAAUCGUCGGGUGUUUGUGGCCCACUUAACUGUGAGCUCCAGUUGACAGCUGCAUGACUUUGAUGCCGACCCUCGGGAUUACUAGAUGUGUUAUAAUUAACUCUGCUGGGAGGGUGUGGACUCUGGGGUCAGCCAGGAUGCCUGAGGUUGCCUGAUUAAGAACAAGAGCUACCCCAAGCCUUGAGUCCAACUGUGACCAUAAAAGGCUUUCUUCAGCCACUUUAUUUAAAGACUGACACCAGCUAGCAUAGUCAUCUGGUAGCCUUGGGAGCCCCCUGAGGUAAAUCUGACAUAUUCUGUUCCUCACUCCUGUUCUGUACCUGUCAAAAUUCUGUAGGGGGCGGGGUGGGGGUGGGGGAGGCUGAAGAGAUGGCUCAGAGAUUAAGAGCACUGGCUGCUCUUCCAGAGGUCCUGAGUUCAAUUCCCAGCAACCACAUGGUGGCUCAUAAUCAUCUAUAGUGUAAUUUGGUGUUCUCUUCCAGUGGGCAGGC